CACGGAACAUCUACCUAAGACUACAGCUCCAGGUCUCACUCCACUCAUCCACACAUAAAGUGCAUUUCUUUUUUCCGCCCGCACUAGUUUGUAAGCACUAAAAACCUCUGCAACUCGGCGUCAGUAUCCACUUCUGCGCGUACUGAACCGGUUCACAACUUUGCUGUCAGACGAAGUCAGAAAAGCUGAAUGGGUCGCUCCAGUCUGUCAGGGCUGUCCAAUGGCAGAGAGGCUAAGGGAUGGGAGCCCCCUAUUGGAUCUCUACAUCAUCGAUCCGGAGCUGAUUGAUCGGUUUUAGGCCACAUUUACGAAGAGGCGCAAAACAAAACAGUGCUUACGAAUGGAAAACACACAGUCUGCGUUUCUGUCAGAUUCUACAAACUGUAAAUUCAACAAAACUGAGAAUAUUUGGUGAAGACCCCCACCCCCUUUCUUUUUUCUCUCCCUCUCUCUCUCUCUCUCUCUCUCACACACACACAGACUCACACACUCCAAUUUACGCAUCUGUUUUAAUUACCCUCUUCCAAAUGCACUCAAACUUUGACUAAACAUCGCAAAAGAAACUUGACCUGCAUUCAGAUUUAGAAAGUCUGGUCUUUCUUCUUUUGAUUAUACAGAGUUGUUACCAGUCCAACUGUAGCCUUUUGGUAAUAAACCGUUGAGUGGAGUUUCAGUUUUCAGCCCAGGGGCUGUAAAAGUUUGGUCAAAUAUUGAUGAGCUUAAAUUUAUUGAGGAAAAUUUUUAUUCUCAAGCCAUUUCAGCAAAAGUAAUGGGGAUGGAAAUUAACUAAAUAGUUUUAAAUUAUACGUUAACCUACCAGGGUGUAAAAAGAAGUAAACAUUUUUAUAUCAGCACAUACAUGUAAUUAACUUCAGAACUUGCUUUAAUAAUUUAAUUAGAUAUUUAUGUCUUAUGUUGUGUUUAAUAUAAAGGACAUGUUUCGUGGAUUGGUUUAGUUGGAAAGGUGACAUGAAAGGUUUGCGUGGAGUUCCUUCUUCUAUUUUGUUUGCUUUUGUGUGUUUUCUUGAUAAACAUCACACAUUCAGGUUAACGCGGCUUUGUAUUUAUUUCUCACUCGAUCACACGUGAAUGGAGAGUCAGUUAAAGUGCCACAUUAUCUCCUGAUUAUGCUCAUGAGGUGUUGCCGGUCAGUGACAGGCUGUUUGAAGUUUUUACCAAGCAGAGUCCAGUCAUCGAUCAUCUGCCCCCGGUGCCAGAAGUGGUGUCAUAACAUGAUAAUGCGGCUUCACACAUUCGGCAGUGAUUCCUGUGGUAAAACUCGAGCGGUGGGACCCGAUGGGACACAUUUACAGGCAUGAAAUUACUAUUAAAGCCUCCUCCUGCCCGCACGGCGAGGCUCCGGGGCGCAGACAGCGGAGGAGCUACAAUACUGCGCAGGACGCACGGACCUUUUACGCACAGAGAUAAUAGAGGCAAAAACACACCGCGAUGACAUGUACUCGUCGAGUUUAUUCAUUUGAAUAUUCUUUGGUGAGUAACAGCUCUCAUUGUCUCAUUUUAUAUAUUUUCACGGAAAUAAAAUAAUAAUGAAGCAAAAACAUGGUACUUUCAAUUAUGCAUUCAGUUAAAUAGGCGUCAUUUUUAAGUCAGCGAUCCAGUAAUAUACCUGUUAUUUAAACCCACUUUCGAUCAAAUUUAUGGAUUAAGUGGAACACAUAAGUAGUCACGACACCACAAGGUAUGCUAAAUUAUAGUGGGUCACUAAGAAGAAUUAACAUGAAAGUAGAUCCCAUCAGCCUGACCACUGUAAAAUAACUACAAUGGCAUUAUAAAGCAAUUAAGCUACUUCAAUUAGGGUCUAUAAAAGCAAACUGAAUUCCCACUUUCUCUCCUGGAGCUGUUCUUCCGUGAGGGUCAGCGCAUUUUGGCAUCUUUAAAAGAGAGCAGGGGGGCAAAUACCGUCAUUUCUGUUUAAUCCGCUUUGCGAUGAUGGUAAUGCUUUGAGUCGUUUCAAUAAAAUCAGCAGGUAUUACUUUGAAACGGCUGAAUGUAAAUUGACAGCAUGUUACAAAUUAACGCGUUUUUCGACGGCCUGUGUACCAUGACCUGCUCUGAUCGCAGACAAUGCCAAGUUUCAGCCUUUAUACAGUUAAUAAAAGUACUAAAAUAUGUAUCAUAUUGGGGAGAAAAAAAAGUCAGAGUUUAUUCUUUUCCUAUAUUACGCACAGCUAUUUUCCAUCAGCAGUAGUUAUUUAUACUUUUACCUAUAUAUGUGAUAAAUAAUGCAAAUGGGAAUAUUCAUUUUAAUGCGCGUCUGUUCUCAAGUAAAAGCAGCAUCAUUAACUCCAGGUCAGAAAUGUGAACCUCAGGCCGAGCCUUUGUGAUCGCUCCUGUCUGUGACUGUUUAAAGAAACAAGGAGCAACUGGCAGCCCGAGGAGUCAAACUGAGGUCAAACUUUUUGUAGCCCCGCAGCUCUGCACCCAAACGUGUUGGGAUCUGCAAAGGCCACUCAGCCUCUGUGCUUUCUGUCACUGCUGCAGCCCACUGGCGAGCGCACAGACCUGCUCCCAACUUUUCACAGCUUAUCUGGAACAAAGUACUAGUACAGUGUCACCUAUCACAAGUCAGCCGAUUGGGGUACACUUAGUGGUCUGUGGACUCCGGUGUGAAAUCACCCAAUUACAAGGACGCACUGGUUUUAAUUUUUAAUUUUUUUUUUUCCAAUUAUAAACUUUAAGUCACAAGCUUUAAUAAAAGUAGCCGCAAGGUAGUCCAACAUAUUAGAAGAACAGGCAUAAUUUAUUAAUUCUUCAUCAUUGGUUAUAAUCUGACAUUAUUAUAAAGGUGUGCAUGGGAAAUAAUUAAAGCAUAAAUAUCAAGCGAAAUUAUUCCAAAUGGCAGAUUUAUUGUGAUUUUUUUGCGAAUUACGCAUCUCAAACAGUAAUAUCGAAGAAGUAUGACACGAAAAACCUAAUAUGUGGUGUAAAAUAAAGAAAACAUCGUCAAUAUAGCUGUAUUUACUUUUAUUAAAUAUUCUUUUUAGAGUAUAAUGUGAUUAUUUUAUUUAUGAACCACUCUCUUUUCUUUCAGCCUGGUUCAGUUUUCCUAAAUUCUACAGUUUGGUCCAAAUAUUAAUCGGGGCUCCUCUCGUCUCUCACACACAUUAAUGCUUAAUCAUUUGCGCCUUCUACCGGAGCUGUUGGAAAUUACACGCAAAGCAUGGAGGUAAAGGUAGGCUCUUGUUUAUAUGAUUACAAAUAAAAACAAACUGAUAUAAAGUAGUGCAAACCCACUGUAAAAAGCCUGGGUCUAAUGUGCUUUUAUUUAAAUAUGUGUUGCAUUGUGAUGUUCAUAAGAAAAAUACAUGUAUGAGCUUUGAUUGUGUGAACAAAAUAACAUUACAAUAAAAGUGAUGAAGUUA